CUCAGGGAAGGCUGGUGUGUGGAGAAGGAAGUCAGAAGAGAGGGGCUGUGUGUGGGGUAGGUUUGUUAGAAAAGGUCAAAGACCAACUUUGUAAGAGACAGAAAGAACAUCUGCAAAUACAAUGCUGUUCCUGCAACUUGUGUUGCUGGUGGUUCUCCUGCCAGGUGGUGACAGUGAAGAUGCCUUCCAGGAGCCAAUCUCCUUCCCAUUCCUCCUGACCACAUCUUUUUACAACUGUUCCUGGACACAAAAGCAAGGCUCAGCUUGGUUGGAUGAGCUGCAGACUCAUGGCUGGGACGAUAAGACUGGGGCUCUCAUUUAUCUGCAGCCUUGGUCUAAAGGCAACUUCAGCAACAAGGAGCUGUUGGAAUUAGAAGAGUUAUUCUACACAUACUGCAUUUGUCAUCCUUCAGUAUAUCAUAACCAUGUCAGUGAAUGGCAGCUUGAAUAUCCCUUCCAGGUACAGCUGGUGUUAGGCUGUGAUUCCCACUUUGGAGAAGCAUCAGUAGGCUUCAUGCGGAUUGCUUAUCAAGGAUCAGAUCUCAUGAGUUUCCAGAACACAUCAUGGUGGCCAUCUCCAAAGGGAGGAAGUAGGGCUCAGCAGGUCUGCACAGCAUACAAUCAGUACAUUGUCAGUGAAAUAGUACACAAACUCCUCAGCGACUCCUGCCCCCGGUUCCUGUUGGGUCUUCUUGAUGCAGGGAAGGCAUAUCUCCAGCGACAAAUGAGGCCAGAGGCCUGGCUGUCUACUGGCCCCAGUCCUGGUCCUGGCCAUCUGCUCCUGGUGUGCCACGUCUCUGGCUUCUACCCAAAGCCUGUGUGGGUGAUGUGGAUGUGGGGUGAGCAGGAGCAACAGGGCACACGGCGAGGUGAUCUCCUGCCCCAUGCUGAUGGGACAUGGUAUCUUCAGACGUCCUUGGAUGUGAAAGCCAGUGAGGCAGGUGGCCUGUCAUGCCGAGUGAGACACAGCAGUCUAGGAGGCCAGGACAUGGUCCUCUACUGGGAGCAGCCCCACUCCGUGGGCUUGGUCUUCCUCGCGGUGACAGUGCCCCUGGUGCUUCUGGCAGGUCUGGCGUUGUGGCUCUGGAAGCGCUGGAAAACACACUGGAGACCUCAGUGCACCGGCUUCCCUGUGGAGUGAGAUCCCAGCAGCCCAGGCUCCAGUGCUUACCUAAACCCAGCUCAAUGGUGACGUCCUUGCAACUCUGUGGCUGAGAGUGGGACCCAAGACUGAAAAAUGUCCAGAGGGGCCAUGUGCAGGCCCCAGCCCUACACGUGUGGACACUUCUGGAAAAUAACGUUGAGAUGGGAGAGGUGGCAAAGGUGAAGAUACGGGAAUGGGGAGAGCAAAUCAUGGGGACUUCUGCAAUAUCCCCACCUGAAUCAGACUGCUUGGCUGUUUCUCUAACUUCCAGUCCACCUUGUCACCCUCUCAUGGCCACCAUGUGGAUUUUGGAUCUUUGACUUCGUCCUCAUGUGUAGCCUUGGGCUCUGAUCAGCCUGAGGCCAUCAGGAGAAAGCAUCCUUGUCAAUGUGACAUGUUGAAGGAUGGGCAGGUAACUGGCAGGUGAGGCCAAUCAUCAGACAGAUGCCAUUUGCAUCACCCAGAGUGAUGGUUCAGGGCCAGGAACCUGCUCCAGGUGGCACAGGUCCCACACAGCCUGAUUCUUAUGGAGGAUGGAGGGAAAAGAGAUGCGUUCUCUUGUUCUGGAUGAUAAGGUCAGGGUGUGAAGCCUGAAAUAAGUACAAUCAAUUUUCAGCAUUAGAGAAGCAAGCUGAGGAUGAAGCCUGCAUGCAAGAAGGCAGAGAAAUUGUAUACAUGAAAUUUGCCAAGAGGGUAGAUCCCAAAUGUUCUCGCCUCCUGAAGAAAGAAAAACAAAAGAAAAGAAAAAGAAGAGUUCUGGAUGUGAGGUGGUGGCCGAGUUAACUGGCCUGGUUGUGGGCAUCAUGUCACCAUGUACACAUACACCAAACUUCUAAUGGUUACUUCAUUUUAUGUUUUUAAAAGAAAAUGUCAAUUAAAGUAUUCCAACAUGAGAUGAAUGCUACCUAAAAUAUUAAUUUUCAUGAUUUGCUUCAAAUCAAGUUUCUUGACCAAUUCUGCAUUUUCCUUCUGAAAUGCUACAUGCCCUCCCUGAAGGCACUGCAAGUAAGGACAUGAGCAUUCAGGUGCAGUUCCAUGCAUGCUC